rnacentral:rRNA from 1 species
AUUGAACGCUGGCGGCAUGCUUUACACAUGCAAGUCGAACGGUAACAGGCCUUCGGGUGCUGACGAGUGGCGAACGGGUGAGUAAUGCAUCGGAACGUGCCCAGAGGUGGGGGAUAACGCAGCGAAAGCUGUGCUAAUACCGCAUGUGAUCUGAGGAUGAAAGCGGGGGACCAAGCAGCAAUGUUUGGCCUCGCGCCUCUGGAGCGGCCGAUGUCAGAUUAGGUAGUUGGUGGGGUAAAGGCCUACCAAGCCGACGAUCUGUAGCUGGUCUGAGAGGACGACCAGCCACACUGGGACUGAGACACGGCCCAGACUCCUACGGGAGGCAGCAGUGGGGAAUUUUGGACAAUGGGCGCAAGCCUGAUCCAGCAAUGCCGCGUGCGGGAAGAAGGCCUUCGGGUUGUAAACCGCUUUUGUACGGAACGAAAAGGCUCUGGCUAAUACCUGGGGCUGAUGACGGUACCGUAAGAAUAAGCACCGGCUAACUACGUGCCAGCAGCCGCGGUAAUACGUAGGGUGCGAGCGUUAAUCGGAAUUACUGGGCGUAAAGCGUGCGCAGGCGGUCUUGUAAGACAGAGGUGAAAUCCCUGGGCUCAACCUAGGAGUGGCCUUUGUGACUGCAAGGCUGGAGUGCGGCAGAGGGGGAUGGAAUUCCGCGUGUAGCAGUGAAAUGCGUAGAUAUGCGGAGGAACACCGAUGGCGAAGGCAGUCCCCUGGGCCUGCACUGACGCUCAUGCACGAAAGCGUGGGGAGCAAACAGG